rnacentral:rRNA from 1 species
CACGCCGUAAACGAUGAAUACUAGGUGUGGGAGGUAUCGACUCCUUCCGUGCCGUCGUAAACACAAUAAGUAUUCCGCCUGGGGAGUACGAUCGCAAGAUUAAAACUCAAAGGAAUUGACGGGGGCCCGCACAAGCAGCGGAGCAUGUGGUUUAAUUCGAAGCAACGCGAAGAACCUUACCAGGUCUUGACAUCCCGAUGACCGCUCUAGAGAUAGAGUUUUCCCUUCGGGGACAUUGGUGACAGGUGG